CCCUUAGAUGUUCUGGGCCGCACGCGCGCUACACUGAUGAAUUCAACGAGCUCCUAACCUAGGCCGAAGGGUCCGGGUAAUCUUUGAAAUUUCAUCGUGAUGGGGAUAGAUUAUUGCAAUUAUUAAUCUUCAACGAGGAAUUCCUAGUAAGCGCGAGUCAUCAGCUCGCGUUGAUUACGUCCCUGCCCUUUGUACACACCGCCCGUCGCUCCUACCGAUUGAAUGGUCCGGUGAAAUGUUCGGACCGCGACGAGGCGGACGGUUCGCUGUCAGCUUUGCUGCGGGAAGUUCAUUAAACCUUAUCAUUUAGAGGAAGGAGAAGUCGUAACA
rnacentral:rRNA from 1 species